UGGAAACCUUUGAUAGAGUAUGGAUUAAUUUCAGUGAGGUUGAAUAAGAACGUUGCCAUUUUGUGUUGAAUGCGUGUGGACCUGGGGAGAUAUCUUUCAAGUUUUUUCUGUAGGUAUAGGUAAUUGGUGUUGAGACAGUUGGGUUGAGACGGGCUUCUGCUUCAAGCAUUGUUCCUAAGGCUCUGUAGAAAUUGUGAGUAUUUAAAUGCUUUAUUUGAUUCACUUGACUUAUUUAAACUUAAUAGUAUUAAAAUGUUGCUGUC
ensembl:lncRNA